GAGGCGGCCAUCGCGGUCCAACCCCCCCCAGGCUCUGGGGACACCCAGAGGGACCCCCCUGAAGGACCCCCCCCACGAGGAGCCCCCCGUGGGGCGGCCCCCCAGCGCCGCGGCACCGCUGAGCGCACGCCCUAUUUAUAGUGCAGCGGUGGCCGGACCCCCCCACGUCACCUCUGCGUCCCCCCAUGUCACCUCUGUGCCCCCAUGUCCCCCCCUGCGUCCCCCCAUGUCACCUCUGUGCCCCCCCAUGUCCCCUCUGUGUCCCCCCAUGUCCCCUCUGUGUCCCUCUGGGAGCUGGGGGGGGGUGGAAGGGGGAACUGGGAAGAAACUGGGAGCUGGGGGGGGAACUGGGGAGGAACUGAGGGCAAACUGGGAGGCACUGGGAGGCACUGGGGGUCCCACCCGUGUCGCCCCCCCGCUCCACCCUGUGACUCAGUGGCCACCACCACCGGCACUGCGGUCCCCGCUGCUGUCCCCAGUGUCCCCAGUGUUGUCCCCGAUGCCCCCACUGCUGUCCCCAGUGAUGCCCCCAACGUCCCCAGUGCCACCACCAGUGUCCCCACUGCCAUCCCCAAGGCCACCACCAGCACUGCUGACCCCGAUGACAACAAUGUCCCCAAACCGCUGUCCCCAGCGAUGUCCCCAAGGGGUGACAUCCGAACGGCUGUCCCCAAACGGGUGUCCCCAAACGGGUGUCACCAAGGGAUGUCCCCAUUGGUGUCCCCAAAUGGUGUCCCCGAGUGCGUCCCCACUGAUGUCCCCAAGGGGUGACAUCCAAACUGGUGUCCCCAAAGGUGUCCCCAAAUGGGUGUCACCAAGGGAUGUCCCCACUGAUGUCCCCCCCCCCCGGGUCGCCCUGCUGGCCGCCGGAGGCACUGCGGGGAUGGGGGGGGGGAGGGGACAGCGCUGCGUGACAGCGUGUCACGUGACACCGCCGGGGGACACCAACGUGUGACGGCGUCACGUGACGCCGCCGGAGGACACCGCUGGGCGAUGACGUCACGUGACGCCGCCGGGGGACACCCCCGUGUCACCUCCGAACGUCACCGUGCCCCACAGCGCCGCCACUCUGCCCCACAGCGCCGCCACUCUGCCCCAUAGCACGUUCCUUCUGCCCCAUAGCGCCGUCACCGUGCCCCAUAGCGCCCACUGCGCCCCAUAGUGCCCACUGUGCCCCAUAGCACCGCGACUGUGCCCCAUAGUGCCACCACUGCACCACUGGCCCCAUAGCGCCAUCCCUGUGCCCCAUAGCACGGCCACUGUGCCCCAUAGUGCCUUCCUCCUGCCCCAUAGCUCUCUGUGCCCCACAGCGCCAUCCUUCUGCCCCAUAUCAAUGUCUCUGUGCCCCAUAGACCACAGCGCCAUCCUUCUGCCCCAUAUCAAUGUCUCUGUGCCCCAUAGAACCGUCCCUGUGCCCCACAGCACCUUCCUUGUGCCCCAUAGCGCCAUCCCUGUGCCCCACAGCGCCUUCCUUGUGCCCCACAGCACCAUCCCCGUAGCCCACAGCAGUGUCACUCUGUGCCCCACAGCGCCAUCCUUCUGCCCCACAGCGCCACCCCUGUGCCCCACAGCGUCACCUCCGUGCCCCACAACAUCCUUCCACCCCGUAGCACCGCGUGCCCCACAGCUUCAUGUGCCCCACAGCGCUGUGCCCCACACCGUUGCACCCCUCACCCCACAACAGCCGCCCCAUAGCACCCGCCUCACAGCACUGUGUGCCCCACAGCGCUGUGCCCCAUAGCGCUGUCCGUGUACCCCACAGCAUGGCACCCCACACCCCACAGUACCGUCCACGUGCCCCAUAGCACCGUGCCCCACGGCACCCACCCCACAGUGCCAACAUUGUGCCCCAUAGCGCUGUGCCCCACGGCACCAGGUGCCCCAUAGCGCUGUCCAUGUGACCCAUAGCGCUGUU
ensembl:lncRNA